AACGAACGCUGGCGGCAUGCUUAACACAUGCAAGUCGAACGCUCCAGCUUGCUAGAGAGUGGCAGACGGGUGAGUAACGCGUGGGAACGUACCUUUCAGUUCGGGACAACACAUGGAAACGUGUGCUAAUACCGGAUAUACUGGAGACAGGAAAGAUUUAUCGCUGAGAGAGCGGCCCGCGUUAGAUUAGGUAGUUGGUGGGGUAAAGGCCUACCAAGCCUGCGAUCUAUAGCUGGUUUGAGAGGAUGAUCAGCCACACUGGGACUGAGACACGGCCCAG
rnacentral:rRNA from 1 species